rnacentral:rRNA from 1 species
CGCGCAGGCCUAACACAUGCAAGUCGAGCGGUAGCACAGGGAGCUUGCUCCUGGGUGACGAGCGGCGGACGGGUGAGUAAUGUCUGGGAAACUGCCUGAUGGAGGGGGAUAACUACUGGAAACGGUAGCUAAUACCGCAUAACGUCUUCGGACCAAAGAGGGGGACCUUCGGGCCUCUUGCCAUCAGAUGUGCCCAGAUGGGAUUAGCUAGUAGGUGAGGUAAUGGCUCACCUAGGCGACGAUCCCUAGCUGGUCUGAGAGGAUGACCAGCCACACUGGAACUGAGACACGGUCCAGACUCCUACGGGAGGCAGCAGUGGGGAAUAUUGCACAAUGGGCGCAGCCUGAUGCAGCCAUGCCGGGUGUAUGAAGAAGGCCUUCGGGUUGUAAAGUACUUUCAGCGAGGAGGAAGGCAUUGUGGUUAAUAACCGCAGUGAUUGACGUUACUCGCAGAAGAAGCACCGGCUAACUCCGUGCCAGCAGCCGCGGUAAUACGGAGGGUGCAAGCGUUAAUCGGAAUUACUGG